GAUGAACGCUGGCGGCGUGCCUAAUACAUGCAAGUCGAGCGAACAGACGAGGAGCUUGCUUCUCUGACGUUAGCGGCGGACGGGUGAGUAACACGUGGAUAACCUACCUAUAAGACUGGGAUAACUUCGGGAAACCGGAGCUAAUACCGGAUAAUAUAUUGAACCGCAUGGUUCAAUAGUGAAAGACGGUUUUGCUGUCACUUAUAGAUGGAUCCGCGCCGCAUUAGCUAGUUGGUAAGGUAACGGCUUACCAAGGCAACGAUGCGUAGCCGACCUGAGAGGGUGAUCGGCCACACUGGAACUGAGACACGGUCCAGACUCCUACGGGAGGCAGCAGUAGGGAAUCUUCCGCAAUGGGCGAAAGCCUGACGGAGCAACGCCGCGUGAGUGAUGAAGGUCUUCGGAUCGUAAAACUCUGUUAUUAGGAAAGAACAAAUGUGUAAGUAACUAUGCACGUCUUGACGGUACCUAAUCAGAAAGCCACGGCUAACUACGUG
rnacentral:rRNA from 1 species